AUGGACGAUGCGGCGGCGGCUGCCGCAUCCAAGAAGCGGAGGCGGGAUCUGCCAGCACUUGGGGAUCCUCCCGCCAGCAGGGAGGGUGCCGGCGGCGGAGACGAUGCGAGCCUCGACCUCAUCAGCCGUCUCCCCGACGAGAUCCUCGGCACCAUCAUCUCCCUGCUCCCCGGCACCAAGGACGGCGCGCGGACAGCCAUCCUCUCCUCCCGGUGGCGCCACCUCUGGCGCUCCGCGCCCCUCAACCUCGCCGUCGACGACGCCCUCUCCUCGCAGGAGAGCGAGCGCAUCGCCGUCGUCUCCGAGAUCCUCGCCGCGCACCCUGGCCCCGCCCGCCGCCUCUGCAUCUCUAGCAUCUUUCUCGGCGGCCACCAUCACGCCAGGUUCGACGGCUGGUUCCGGUCCCCCGCCCUCGGCGGCCUCGAGGAGCUCGAGUUCUACCGGGGCAACAGCAGGCGCGCGCUGCCUCCUUCCGUGCUCCACUUCGCGCCCACGCUGCGCGUUGCCAGCAUCGGCCGCUGCAAUUUAUCCGUGAUUGAAGCCGCCCCCGUGCUUGCCUUCCCUCGGCUGAAGCAGCUCAACCUCUCCGGCGUCGCCGUCUCGGAGCCGGCCCUCCUCCGCCUGCUAGCCGCCUGCGCCGUGCUUGAGAGCCUUGAGCUUAUGGGCAUCCGUGGGCUCAGCACCGCCCGGAUCGUCUCGCCGACUCUCCGAAGUAUUGGUGUCUCUGUUGGUCACUAUGAGGAGCUGCCGGAGGAGCUUGUCAUUGAGGAUGCACCAUGCCUUGAAAGAUUGAUAUCAUUUGGUUGCAAUGGUCCAAGGACAAUCAGGGUGAUCGCGGCACCGAAACUGACGGUGUUGGGCUAUCCGUCUUGCCGUUUCUACGAACUUGUGAUGGGCCUGGGAACCAUAAUUGUUAAGGAAAUGAUCCCCAUCAGCUUGGCUGUGUCGGUGCGCACAGUGAAGGUCUUGGUUCUAGAAUCUAUUGGCCCCAAUCUGGACGUAGUUGUUGGAUUCCUUAGAUGUUUUCCCUGCGUGGAGAAGCUAUACAUCCAGUCAUGUCUUAGGAAGGAUAUGAAAAAUGUGGGGCAAUAUGGCACGCUCGAUCCUAUCGAAUGCCUUGAACUCAAUCUCAAAGCAAUAGUAUUGAACACCUACGAAGGCAAGACACCAGAUGUUGACUUUGCCAAGUUCUUUGUUCUGAAUGCAAAGGUACUCGAGGUAAUGAAAUUUGGAGUCUAUCGUAAUAGCUGCAAUCAGAAGUGGGUGGCUAAUCAGCACAUGCGGCUACAACUGGAUAACAGAGCUUCUAGAGAUGCACGAUUUGAUUUUGAACGAGAUUAUGGUAAUUCCCGUUUUUAUUAUAAGAAGCACAUGCAUGAUAUGUGGAUAGCUGAUCCCUUUGAUAGGUCAUUAUGCAAAUUCUGUCGGAAGGUUUGA
rnacentral:rRNA from 1 species